rnacentral:rRNA from 1 species
GAUGAACGCUGGCGGCGUGCCUAAUACAUGCAAGUCGAGCGAACGGACGAGAAGCUUGCUUCUCUGAUGUUAGCGGCGGACGGGUGAGUAACACGUGGAUAACCUACCUAUAAGACUGGGAUAACUUCGGGAAACCGGAGCUAAUACCGGAUAAUAUUUUGAACCGCAUGGUUCAAAAGUGAAAGACGGUCUUGCUGUCACUUAUAGAUGGAUCCGCGCUGCAUUAGCUAGUUGGUAAGGUAACGGCUUACCAAGGCAACGAUGCAUAGCCGACCUGAGAGGGUGAUCGGCCACACUGGAACUGAGACACGGUCCAGACUCCUACGGGAGGCAGCAGUAGGGAAUCUUCCGCAAUGGGCGAAAGCCUGACGGAGCAACGCCGCGUGAGUGAUGAAGGUCUUCGGAUCGUAAAACUCUGUUACUAGGGAAGAACAUAUGUGUAAGUAACUGUGCACAUCUUGACGGUACCUAAUCAGAAAGCCACGGCUAACUACGUGCCAGCAGCCGCGGUAAUACGUAGGUGGCAAGCGUUAUCCGGAAUUAUUGGGCGUAAAGCGCGCGUAGGCGGUUUUUUAAGUCUGAUGUGAAAGCCCACGGCUCAACCGUGGAGGGUCAUUGGAAACUGGAAAACUUGAGUGCGGAAGAGGAAAGUGGAAUUCCAUGUGUAGCGGUGAAAUGCGCAGAGAUAUGGAGGAACACCAGUGGCGAAGGCGACUUUCUGGUCUGUAACUGACGCUGAUGUGCGAAAGCGUGGGGAUCAAACAGGAUUAGAUACCCUGGUAGUCCACGCCGUAAACGAUGAGUGCUAAGUGUUAGGGGGUUUCCGCCCCUUAGUGCUGCAGCUAACGCAUUAAGCACUCCGCCUGGGGAGUACGACCGCAAGGUUGAAACUCAAAGGAAUUGACGGGGACCCGCACAAGCGGUGGAGCAUGUGGUUUAAUUCGAAGCAACGCGAAGAACCUUACCAAAUCUUGACAUCCUUUGACAACUCUAGAGAUAGAGCUUUCCCCUUCGGGGGACAAAGUGACAGGUGGUGCAUGGUUGUCGUCAGCUCGUGUCGUGAGAUGUUGGGUUAAGUCCCGCAACGAGCGCAACCCUUAAGCUUAGUUGCCAUCAUUAAGUUGGGCACUCUAAGUUGACUGCCGGUGACAAACCGGAGGAAGGUGGGGAUGACGUCAAAUCAUCAUGCCCCUUAUGAUUUGGGCUACACACGUGCUACAAUGGACAAUACAAAGGGCAGCGAAACCGCGAGGUCAAGCAAAUCCCAUAAAGUUGUUCUCAGUUCGGAUUGUAGUCUGCAACUCGACUACAUGAAGCUGGAAUCGCUAGUAAUCGUAGAUCAGCAUGCUACGGUGAAUACGUUCCCGGGUCU